rnacentral:rRNA from 1 species
GACGGAGAAUGCAAGCGUUAUCCGGAAUGAUUGGGCGUAAAGCGUCCACAGGUGGCAGUUCAAGUCUGCUGUCAAAGACCGGGGCUUAACUUCGGAAAGGCAGUGGAAACUGAACAGCUAGAGUAUGGUAGGGGCAGAGGGAAUUCCUGGUGUAGCGGUGAAAUGCGUAGAGAUCAGGAAGAACAUCGGUGGCGAAGGCGCUCUGCUGGACCAUAACUGACACUCAGGGACGAAAGCUAGGGGAGCGAAUGGG